GCCUUCGUGAUGUAACGGUAGCACACUUGGCGCAUAUUCGAGCGGUCUAGGUUCAAAUCCAGCGAAGGCA
rnacentral:tRNA from 1 species